rnacentral:misc_RNA from 1 species
GGAAUGAGGAGGAUUCAUCUAUACAUCGCCAUUGCUUAUGUUGUAAUAUUUCAAACUAGUUGUUCAGCUCAUUUCUUUCCAAAUAUUUCAUCAAUCCCUUCUUCAUUACUCAAACCUAAUGCCACUGCUUGGACUUCUUUUCAAAAGUUGUUAGGAUGUCAACCUGGUCAGAAAGUCGAUGGCAUUGCUAAAAUCAAAAAAUAUUUUCAACAUUUUGGUUACAUUAAUAAUUUGACUAGUUUUAAUUUCACUGAUGAAUUUGAUGAUACUCUUGAAUCUGCUCUCAAGACGUAUCAGAGAAAUUUCAACCUCAAAGCCACCGGUGUGCUCGAUGCGCCCACCAUUCAGCAUCUCAUAAAACCCAGAUGUGGAAAUGCCGAUCUAGUUAACGGUACUAGUACUAUGAACGCUGGAAAGCCGCACACGGUGGCUCACUACUCCUUCUUUCCUGGAAGACCAAAGUGGCCCGAGGGUAAGACUGAUUUGACUUAUGCCUUUCUACCGGCAAACAAUUUGACGGAUGAUAUUAAGAGUGUCUUCUCACGUGCGUUUGAUCGGUGGUCGGAGGUAACCCCGUUGAGCUUCACGGAAAUACCGUCAUUUCAAUCGGCUGAUAUCAAGAUCGGAUUUUUAACCGGAGAUCACAAUGAUGGAGAGCCGUUUGAUGGUCCGAUGGGGACAUUAGCGCACGCGUUUUCACCGCCGGCGGGGCAUUUUCACUUGGACGGCGAGGAAAAUUGGGUCGUCGACGGUGUGCCGGUAAAUGAAGGGAACUUUUUUUCUAUAUUGUCGGCUGUGGAUCUCGAAUCGGUUGCGGUUCAUGAAAUCGGGCAUUUAUUGGGUUUGGGUCAUUCAUCGGUAGAAGAUUCGAUUAUGUAUCCGAGUUUAGAAUCGGGUAUUCGAAGAGUGGAGCUGGUGGAGGAUGAUAUUAAGGGGGUUCAGGAAUUAUACGGGUCAAACCCGAAUUAUACUGGGACCAAUACAACAUUGACUCCGAGCGGCCUGGAUAAUGAUACGAAUGGAGCCCCGAUUCGUAGCUCAGUAUGGAUUCAUGGGUUUUUAUUGGUGGUUGGAUUUUUCAUUUAUUCAAUUUAAUAAAUAACAGCUGUACUUUUUGUUCCCUUUAUAUGAGAUUGUAUGGUAUCAUUGUGGGUAUGGAUAGAUAUUUAUUUCGGG